UGGAGGCUUCCAGAACAGAGGUUGGAUGAAGAUCUAAGGAGGAAUUGUGGUGGUGGGAACAAAGUUGUCAGAACUCUGAGUGAUCCCUGUGCUUCUGUAGCUGGUCCCUCUGUCUGCGAGCUGGGUCAUGCCGAAUGCCAGCCAUGGUCUCACACAUCUGUCUCCUCACUAGACAGCAAGUGCUGCUACAAGUUGUGCAACGUGCUUAAACAUCACACGCCGAACAGGAGGCAGAGCCUGUCUAACUUCAAAGCACACACUCUUCACUCUGUUAAACUGAUGGAGGGGAAAAUGAACAAAACCAAGUGCCGGCUGCGUCCAGGCUGAGCUGGAGCAGGAAGGCCAUUACUGGAGAUCCCUGACUCCUGCCCAGCAUAUGAUGGAGGCCUGAGAAAAAAAUACACUAAGAGACAGAACUAAGAGAGAGACAGCAAGGUGCCAGGACAACCAAUGCCAGUGGAACCAUCAAAGGAAGGCUUCUUGUCCAAGUCCUCUGAAAAUGCACAUAGUACAUUUUUUGGACCUGCACAGAAGAACCUGCAGAAUUGUUAUACUCAGGAAGUGGGGAGCAACUCAUUCUACGGCUUUCUGCUCCAGGACUACCCUCGACAUUCAGAAUAAAUGCCACUUUUGCUUAAUUCUUAAACAGAUGGGACAUGGAUCCCAUUGUGGGGCUCCACUCUCAAGACCCAGCCUGACCCUCCUCAGCCAUCUAAGGCCCACGUCCACCAAUAUCAGACUGGGACUAGGAUUUCAACCCAAGAAUUUUAGAGGGGAUACAACAUGGUACAAUGAAAUGGCGCUCUGGAGGCUGCUGGU
rnacentral:lncRNA from 1 species